GCGCGUGCCUAAUACAUGCAAGUCGAACGAACGGAUAAAGAGCUUGCUCUUUUGAAGUUAGUGGCGGACGGGUGAGUAACACGUGGGUAACCUGCCUCACAGCUGGGGAUAACAUCGAGAAAUCGAUGCUAAUACCGAAUGUGCUGAACAUCAUAAGAUGUUCAAGUGAAAGACGGUUUCGGCUGUCACUGUGAGAUGGACCCGCGCUGGAUUAGCUAGUUGGUAAGGUAAUGGCUUACCAAGGCGACGAUCCAUAGCCGACCUGAGAGGGUGAUCGGCCACAUUGGGACUGAGACACGGCCCAAACUCCUACGGGAGGCAGCAGUAGGGAAUCUUCGGCAAUGGACGAAAGUCUGACCGAGCAACGCCGCGUGAGCGAAGAAGGCCUUCGGGUCGUAAAGCUCUGUUGUUAGAGAAGAACAUGGGUGAGAGUAACUGUUCACCCCUUGACGGUAUCUAACCAGAAAGCCACGGCUAACUACGUGCCAGCAGCCGCGGUAAUACGUAGGUGGCAAGCGUUGUCCGGAAUUAUUGGGCGUAAAGCGCGCGCAGGCGGUCUCUUAAGUCUGAUGUGAAAGCCCCCGGCUCAACCGGGGAGGGUCAUUGGAAACUGGGAGACUUGAGGACAGAAGAGGAGAGUGGAAUUCCAAGUGUAGCGGUGAAAUGCGUAGAUAUUUGGAGGAACACCAGUGGCGAAGGCGGCUCUCUGGUCUGUUACUGACGCUGAGGCGCGAAAGCGUGGGAGCAAACAGGAUUAGAUACCCUGGUAGUCCACGCCGUAAACGAUGAGUGCUAAGUGUUAGGGGGUUUCCGCCCCUUAGUGCUGCAGUUAACGCAUUAAGCACUCCGCCUGGGGAGUACGACCGCAAGGUUGAAACUCAAAGGAAUUGACGGGGGCCCGCACAAGCGGUGGAGCAUGUGGUUUAAUUCGAAGCA
rnacentral:rRNA from 1 species